AGAAGCACUAGUCUAUGACCAUGGUUCUCUAUGAGUAAACAUAGUUAACCACAGAGAACCAUGGUCAUAGACUAGUGCUUCC
rnacentral:precursor_RNA from 1 species